rnacentral:rRNA from 1 species
UACAGAGGAUGCAAGCGUUAUCCGGAAUGAUUGGGCGUAAAGCGUCUGUAGGUGGCUUUUUAAGUCCGCCGUCAAAUCCCAGGGCUCAACUCUGGACAGGCGGUGGAAACUACCAAGCUGGAGUACGGUAGGGGCAGAGGGAAUUUCCGGUGGAGCGGUGAAAUGCGUAGAGAUCAUGAGGAAGACCAGUGGCGAAGGCGGGUCUCUGGACAGUUCCUGACACUGAGGCACGAAGGCCAGGGGAGCAAACGGG